rnacentral:rRNA from 1 species
GGCUCAUGGCAGCCUGAACACACUGGAUCUGGCAGGAACUGGGAAGCUAAGCAGGGUCAGCCAAGGUUAGUACUUGGAUGGGAGACCGCUUGGGAACACUGCAUGCCC